rnacentral:tRNA from 1 species
GAAAUACCAUUUGUGAACUUCUAAUUCAUUUUAUAAUAUUAAUUUAUUAGUAUUUCU